ACUCAAAUGAAUAGACGGGGGCCCGCACAAGCGGUGGAGUAUGUGGUUUAAUUCGAAGCAACGCGCAGAACCUUACCUACCCUUAACAUCCCAGGACGCAUGCAGAGAUGUAUGUUUCUCUUCGGAGACUUGGAGAUAGGUGCUGCAUGGCUGUCGUCAGCUCGUGUCGUAAGAUGUUUGGUUAAGUCCAAUAACGAGCGCAACCCUUGCCCUUAGUUACCAUCAUUAAGUUGGGGACUCUAGGGGGACCGCCGGUGUUAAACCGGAGGAAGGCGGGGAUGACGUCAAGUCCUCAUGGCCCUUACGGGUAGGGCUACACACGUACUACAAUGGCAGGAACAAACUGUUGCGAAACCGCGAGGUGGAGCCAAUCGGUAAAACACUGUCUCAGUCCGGAUUGGAGUCUGCAACUCGACUCCAUGAAGUCGGAAUCGCUAGUAAUCGCUGAUCAGCAAGCAGCGGUGAAUACGUUCCCGGGCCUUGUACACACCGCCCGU
rnacentral:rRNA from 1 species